GAUGAACGCUGACAGAAUGCUUAACACAUCAGCAACGGAUUGGUGGCGGACGGGUGAGUAACGCGUAAAGAACUUGCCUCACAGCUAGGGACAACAUAUGGAAACGAACGCUAAUACAUAAUACUGUGAGAGAGCUUUGCGUCCCAUUAGUUAGUUGGAGAGGUAACGGCUCACCAAGGCGCUGAUGGGUAGCCGGCCUGAGAGGGGGAUCGGCCACAAGGGGACGUGGACACGGCCCUUACUCCUACGGGGGGCAGCAGUGGGGAAUAUUGAACAAUGGACCAAAGUCUGAUCCAGCAAUUCGGUGGGCACGAUGAAGUUUUCGGAAUGUAAAGUGCUUUCAGUUGAGAAGCGGUACCAACAGAAGAAGUGACGGCUAAAUACGUGCCAGCAGCCGCGGUAAUAC
rnacentral:rRNA from 1 species